rnacentral:tRNA from 1 species
GCUUCCGUAGCUCAGUGGAUAGAGCACCCGCCUCCUAAGCGGGGGGUCGCGCGUUCGAGUCGCGCCGGGAGUGCCA